AUGACCUUGUGGAGUGUGCAAAUUUGUGUUACUGCAGCAUCUUGUUCCUAUAUUUUUUUCUGUAUGACAUCAUGUGCUACUUUAAUUCUUGUUUACUAGGUGGUUGUUGUGGAGCCUGCUGAAAGGAGCAUUAUCUGAGGAAGAAACCCCGGUGGAAAUCAUUGUAUCUGUCUUCAAUUUUACUACAAGUUUGAAUUUCUUUUUCUGCUGGAAGAAAUUGGUGUCUCUUCACUGUUUGUGGCUAACAACAACAUCUUGGUGUACGUUAUAUACCCAGUAUCUUGGAUGUUAAAUUGCUUGAUGAGGUUAUCAAG
rnacentral:misc_RNA from 1 species